AACGCGAAGAACCUUACCUGGAUUUGACAUCCCCUGAAUACUGCAGAAACGUAGUAGGCCCGCAAGGGACAGGGAGACAGGUGCUGCAUGGCUGUCGUCAGCUCGUGUUGUGAAAUGUUGGGUUAAGUCCCGCAACGAGCGCAACCCCUGUCUUUGGUUGCCAUCAUUCAGUUGGGCACUCCAGAGAGACUGCCGUCGUUAAGACGGAGGAAGGUGGGGAUGACGUCAAGUCCUCAUGGCCUUUAUAUCCAGGGCGACACACGUGAUACAAUGGUAGGUACAAAGGGUAGCGAAGUGGUGACACGAAGCCAAUCUCAAAAAGCCUAUCUCAGUUCGGAUUGGAGUCUGCAACUCGACUCCAUGAAGCUGGAAUCGCUAGUAAUCGCGGAUCAGCACGCCGCGGUGAAUACGUUCCCGGGCCUUGUACACACCGUGUCGA
rnacentral:rRNA from 1 species